rnacentral:rRNA from 1 species
UACGUAGGGGGCAAGCGUUGUCCGGAAUCAUUGGGCGUAAAGCGCGCGUAGGCGGCCCGGUAAGUCCGUUGUAAAAGUCAAAGGCUCAACCUUUGAAAGCCGAUGGAUACUGCCGGGCUAGAGUCCGGAAGAGGCGAGUAGAAUUCCUGGUGUAGCGGUGGAAUGCGCAGAUAUCAGGAGGAAUACCCAUAGCGAAGGCAGCUCGCUGGGACGGUACUGACACUGAGGAGCGAAAGCGUGGGGAGCGAACAGG